rnacentral:lncRNA from 1 species
CUUUUUUUUCAUACAUCAGUUUCAGUUUGGAUUCUGGCACUUGUAACUGAAGAUGUCUGAACUGCUAAAGGGUUGACCUUGGGUAGGAGGAGCAUGAUAUCCUGGCAAAAGAUUGCAGGAAACUCAUCCAGACUCUGCUCCCCACCAUCAGCUUCCUGGCCCAUGUUGGGCCAACUGGGGAAUAAAGUGGGCCUGCUGUUUACAUCUGUUACAUGGGCAACACCCCACUGGGGCACAGCCUCAAGGAAGAAGGAACUAUCACUCUGGCUCUCUCAUGUGUUCCUAUUCUGCAGCACAGUGGUUGGUCCUACACAGGCACUUCAUGAAUGUUUGGUGAACAAAUGGACAAAUGGAGGAAAAUUGGACAAUCACAGCACAUUGGGAGGCAUAGUGAGGUCUGUACACUUCCCAGCCUUACACUGAGUACCCUCAGUGAGGUUCUGUUUCAUCUUGGGCAAGCUACUAACCUGUGGAAUUGUAUACACCUAGCUUCUAACCUCUAGGCUCCAUUGUAACUCUUUAAGCUCACAGGGUCCUUUACUUUUUUCUGUACAGUGAGGAUAAUGGCCAAAUUUUGUAGGGUUUGCUUCAACAUAUAGGGAGUACAGGUGUGCAGAUGAGACAUUAGCCAUGUAUUGAUUACUAUAGAAGCCUGGUAAAGGGUACAUUGGAGUUGAUCAUAUUAUUCUCUCUACUUUUGGAGAUGUUUGAAAUUUUCCAUAGUAAGAUAUUUAAGAAAUGAGCCAGGCAUGGUGGACAUGGAUGUAAUCCCAGUGACUUGGGAGGCUGAGGCAGUAGGAUUGCAAGUUGUUAGAGGCCAGCCGCAG